rnacentral:rRNA from 1 species
GGGUUUGAUUCUGGCUCAGAUUGAACGCUGGCGGAAUGCUUUACACAUGCAAGUCGAACGGCAGCACGGACUUCGGUCUGGUGGCGAGUGGCGAACGGGUGAGUAAUAUAUCGGAACGUGCCCAGUCGUGGGGGAUAACGUAGUGAAAAUUACGCUAAUACCGCAUACGAUCUAAGGAUGAAAGCGGGGGAUCGCAAGACCUCGCGCGAUUGGAGCGGCCGAUAUCAGAUUAGGUAGUUGGUGAGGUAAAGGCUCACCAAGCCGACGAUCUGUAGCUGGUCUGAGAGGACGACCAGCCACACUGGAACUGAGACACGGUCCAGACUCCUACGGGAGGCAGCAGUGGGGAAUUUUGGACAAUGGACGCAAGUCUGAUCCAGCCAUUCCGCGUGCAGGACGAAGGCCUUCGGGUUGUAAACUGCUUUUGUACAGAACGAAAAGGUCUCUAUUAAUACUAGGGGCUCAUGACGGUACUGUAAGAAUAAGCACCGGCUAACUACGUGCCAGCAGCCGCGGUAAUACGUAGGGUGCAAGCGUUAAUCGGAAUUACUGGGCGUAAAGCGUGCGCAGGCGGUUAUAUAAGACAGAUG